rnacentral:ncRNA from 1 species
GUAAAGGAAGAUUGUAAAGCUUGAUUCUGGCUUAAUUUUUCACAUAAUGUAGAUAUUAUACAUGUAGGUAGUAACGAGAAAGGACUUAACAAUAGAUAUGGAAAGGAAUAAAUCAUAAAGAAAUGUAAGAGCUCAGUAUAUAGUACUAAGUUAAUCAGGAGAACCUGGACUUGAUCUAUAGUAAAACACCUGAUAAAAUUUUGUGCCAGCAGUCGCGGUUAGACUUAAAGGUGGAGUGAAAAGAAAUAGGAAGUUAGUUAGAUGUUUAAACUAGAGGGGAGUCUUACUUAAUAAAAGGUGAAAUUAGUUUAUUAAGUAUAAGAGCAAAAAGAAGUUAAUGUUGAGGCUAAAAAGUCCUAGAAAUAAAACAGGAUUAGAUACCCUGCUAUACUAGGAUUUAAAAUGGAACACUAAAAUAGUAAUAGUUAUAUUCUUGAAACUUAAAGGAUUUGGCGGUGCUUUAGACCAGUUAGAGGAACCUGUUACCAGAAAACGAUAAACCACGCAGAAUCUUACUCAUUUUUAUUUAGUUUGUAUACCGUCAUUAUUAGAUGAUUUUAGGAGAAUUAAUCAUUGUAAUAGAGAAAAUCUAGUAUAUUAGAUCAAGGUGCAGCUUAUAAGUGAGCGGGAAUGGGUUACAAUAUAACUUAUAUAUUAUGGAUAUGAAAAGGAAGAAAAGGUCAUUGAAGGAGGAUUUAAUUGUAAAUAAAGGAUUAAUAAGAAAUUUUGAUAUAGGCUCUAAAGCAUGUACAUAUCGCCCGUCGCUUUCAUUAUUAAGAUGAGAUAAGUCGUAACAUAGUAGGUAUACUGGAAAGUGUAUCUAGAAUUAA